UACGUAGGGUGCGAGCGUUAAUCGGAAUUACUGGGCGUAAAGCGUGCGCAGGCGGUUGUGCAAGACCGAUGUGAAAUCCCCGGGCUUAACCUGGGAACUGCAUCCGAAACUGGGGAGCUAGAGUACUGGAGAGGGUGGUAGAAUUCCACGUGUAGCGGUGAAAUGCGUAGAGAUGUGGAGGAAUACCAGUGGCGAAGGCGGCCACCUGGACAGUAACUGACGCUGAGGUGCGAAAGCGUGGGGAGCAAACAGGAUUAGAAACCCGGGUAGU
rnacentral:rRNA from 1 species